rnacentral:tRNA from 1 species
GCUGGCGUAGCUCAACUGGUAGAGCACCUGCCUUGUAAGCAGGGGGUUAGGGGUUCAAGUCCCCUCGUCAGCU